GAUGAACGCUGGCGGCGUGCCUAAUACAUGCAAGUCGAGCGAACAGACGAGGAGCUUGCUCCUCUGACGUUAGCGGCGGACGGGUGAGUAACACGUGGAUAACCUACCUAUAAGACUGGGAUAACUUCGGGAAACCGGAGCUAAUACCGGAUAAUAUAUUGAACCGCAUGGUUCAAUAGUGAAAGACGGUUUUGCUGUCACUUAUAGAUGGAUCCGCGCCGCAUUAGCUAGUUGGUAAAGUAACGGCUUACCAAGGCAACGAUGCGUAGCCGACCUGAGAGGGUGAUAGGCCACACUGGAACUGAGACACGGUCCAGACUCCUACGGGAGGCAGCAGUAGGGAAUCUUCCGCAAUGGGCGAAAGCCUGACGGAGCAACGCCGCGUGAGUGAUGAAGGUCUUCGGAUCGUAAAACUCUGUUAUUAGGGAAGAACAAAUGUGUAAGUAACUAUGCACGUCUUGACGGUACCUAAUCAGAAAGCCACGGCUAACUACGUG
rnacentral:rRNA from 1 species